GACACGCUGGCGGCGUGCUUAACACAUGCAAGUCGAACGGAAAGGCCCUUUCGGGGGUGCUCGAGUGGCGAACGGGUGAGUAACACGUGGGUGAUCUGCCCCUGACUUUGGGAUAAGCCUGAGAAAUUGGGUCUAAUACCGGAUAUGACCUGCCCUUGCAUGGGGGUGGGUGGAAAGCUUUUGCGGUCAGGGAUGGGCCCGCGGCCUAUCAGCUUGUUGGUGGGGUAAUGGCCUACCAAGGCGACGACGGGUAGCCGACCUGAGAGGGUGAUCGGCCACACUGGGACUGAGACACGGCCCAGACUCCUACGGGAGGCAGCAGUGGGGAAUAUUGCACAAUGGGCGCAAGCCUGAUGCAGCGACGCCGCGUGAGGGAUGACGGCCUUCGGGUUGUAAACCUCUUUCACCAGGGACGAAGCGCAAGUGACGGUACCUGGAGAAGAAGCACCGGCCAACUACGUG
rnacentral:rRNA from 1 species